UUGACUGACUGUCUGAGUCUGUUUCCAUUGUUGCAUUGAAGACACUUUCCAACUGGCGCAGCCGACAGGAUCAGUAUGUGGGUGGAACUCGAAAUAACACAACAGGAGCCAGAGGGCCUGCAGUUCACACGGUGCCGACUACAAGACGAGGAAACGGUGGAUCUACCGACGCCCGCAGAGCCGUAGCGACGGUGGUGCAAGAGGGGCAGCCACCCCGGGCACCCUCGCCAGAGAAGGCUCCGAACGGCAGGCCCUGGCAGGUUAGUUGGACAGUAUAAAGCGGGAAUGAGGAGAAUUUUUUGAGGAGACACCUGUUCAAAAUUUGAUCACGCUGUGUUCAGAGUGCACGAUAUUCAAAACGUCGCCAAGUCAAUAACUAAGAAAUCAUAAAAAACUGGGUCUUGGUAUUUGAGUAGUGUUCACCACAAGACAUCCAUGAACUUUUCAAAGUGGCAGGGUUGCUUUUCUCUUUUCUUUCAGUAAGGUGUAGUACGUAGUUCUGUAUGCUCAAUAUUUUGCUAGACUAAGAAUAGAUCAACAUGAAUACAUAUCUAGGACAAGCCGUCAAAGCAGACACAGUAUCAUUCACGCAUUGUCCCCUUUGUAUGCUAGAACAAAUAGGCUAAAAUAAUCUGAGAUCCCUAGGACCAUAGAUUGUUUGAACAAACCACCAUCAAACAGAAGAAGAGCAGUCUCUGUACGAAAUACCGGCGGCUCUCGUCCUGAGGCAAUUCCCUUCACACCAUCAAACAGGUUUGAUUAUGAAGGUAUAUUCAAUUCAUAUCUUGUGUCGAAAUGAAGUGCCAUGGUGAUGUCUUUAGCUUGCUAACCUUGUACCAUGUUACCAUGCAUCGGCUAUUCCGUAUCUGUACUUGGCCUCCUGCUUUGGCCCUUGAGGACCUGCAUAAUCUUGUUUAAAAAAAGUAGGUGCCGUAAAGGCCGACGCUCAAUGCCAAGUUAAUUUCAUCAGUACCAGGUAAUAAUUGGACCAUUCGAAAGAUAACGGUCGCUUCUUGGAAAGAGCAAUGUCGACCGAAAAUACCAGUCUAAGCUAUAUUUAGCAGGCUGUAUAUCGUUUAGUUCUGUCAGAUGUGGAGAUUAUCAGUGCAACGGGUUUUCCUUUCAAAUUUGUUACCUUCAUUAACAGUGGCAAACCGCACAUCGGCUACACCGCAUAGACAGGGAAAAGUUCCCGUAACAGUAAGUAAAUUCAUUUGAACAGGAGAUGUAUUACGGCGGUUUACAAACCAAUAGUUCAUCCCACGCGUAAGAUAUACUAUCCCCACAUCCACCUUCCACACACACGCACACUUCCUCUGGCGUUCGGUAAUAGUAACACAGUAACGGUAAGAUAACGGUGUUCGAUCAGACGACGAUGGCAAUCAGCGUGCUCUCUGCGCGUUCUUUGCCGCUCGAGUAUAAACAAACUGUUUAAACUGCACUCAUCCUCGUUGCGCGCGCUCGGUCGUCGAAGUUACGCCGAAGUUGAUGUCGACGCUGGCGAAAAAAAAAAAAAAGAAAACACCUCGGAGAAUAAACGGCCCUUAAUUAGCAAUUCGCUUUUGUGCUUUGCAGACUUCUUACUCGUUGAGGGAAUUCAUGGCACACAUACCUGGUAUUGGCGUACAUCCAGAGAAAGCGGUUCCCUAUUUGUGUGAUAACUAUAGAACCACCAUUCUGCGCCCAUCUUCAGUGGCACGAAAUAUUAAUAGGAGUACUCGCCAUACUGGUAUUGUAAGAGUCCACUUAUUCCACUAUGUUUCUGACUACUUGUAGUGGCCAGGCCGGUGCUCCUGGUGAGGUGAUGUCAUCGGAACCAUCGACCUCGAGUAUUACAACUUGCGCAAGCGUUGCACAACCAAUUCCGCAAGGUUAUCAGUGUUGUGCCGACGACGACGAAAAUGUGGUAAGGUGUAGGAGUAUGUUUAUACAAAGAAGAAAGAGGGGUAGGUUAGUCAGUUACAGGCCGACUUUCUGUUCAUUAAAUAAAAGUACUGAAAAAGAAAAAGUGCCUUAGAGGCUGAUCGAGACGGUCGGUCUACGGCGACAAACACAAACAGCGAUAACCUCCACUCGCUCCACGAAGUGUCAUCGUCCUUUAAUAAUUACUGGCGACGCACAAGACAACGUUGCUACAUCGCCGAGGGAUGUAGCGUUACGAUUGGGACUGUUUCCUGGCAAUGCCACCCAGACACAGCCAGCGUAACCUGAUCGGCUCAUGGUGAAAUCGUACGACUUAAGUGCCCCGGGAGUGAUGAACAGGAUGAGGCCGGAGUUGACGGGAGAAUUGCUCGAACGUGCUCAAACGGCAGGGCAUAAACUAUGAAUUGCAUAUUUGUGUUUUCUUGUUCUUCUGUAUAUAAACGAUAUAGGACCUCGCGCCUUUUGUUCGUCUACGCUAUGUAGAAUAAACGUUCUUCUACAA